rnacentral:snRNA from 1 species
GUGCUCGCUUUGGCAGCACAUAUACUAAAAUUGGAACGACACAGAGAAGAUUAGCAUGGCCCCUGCACAAGGAUGACACGCAAAUUCGUG